UGAGUGUUAUGGUCAGUUGCUAGUCUAUAUAUGUUUCUGGACAAAGUAAGUGAUGUGAGGCUUGUUGCGGGCCAAGAUCGGUAGUAACUGUUUGAAUUGUGUUGGAAGAGGAUGUGUAGGCCAGUGUGGUAGACUAGCGGAACGACAGCUGAAACGGCUGAAACAUCGGGAAGAAACGGAGGAGACCAAUAUUAA